CAAUGCUUGAAAAGGAUAAAUAGACACCAGGAGGGCAGGGGCCAACCUCACGGCCCGUGAGGCGCUGAACCGUGCUGAGGCACUUUAAGACCUGCAGUGCCCCACCCCAACUGUUAAUGAGCUCAUUAACAGCCACUGCCCCUCUCUCCCUCAUAUCCAGCUCGGGGCAGUGGGGUUCAGAGUGAGGAGGGAUCACUUCGCUGUGAAGAGCUGUGUGGACGGGAGUCUGCCCAGGAGCCCAGAAUACCCAUGGCUCAGAAUGGCAGUGGACUUCUAUGAGGACAAGUUGUAGAAGGCAGAUAUCCCUGGCGUUUGAUUUCCUUGUCCUUAUGCUUAGAAAAUGGGAGUGAGACGAAAGCUCAAAACUGGGGAGAAAUACUUCCUUUAUCGUAUUUAUUUCACCGUACUGAAAUGAACAGUUGUAAAGGAGGAAGAAUGGAACAACAGCCCACUCCUGAUUUUCUGUUCUAAUCUAAAUGCAGAUCAUCUGCUAAAAUAAUAAAAAGCUGUGUUAUUUAAUACAGAGUUGUUAAAAACAUUUAAAUCCUGUCUGGAUCAUUGUGCACAUUAUUAUUAUUUUUAAUAUUACUCAAGUGUAUCUCUUGAUACAAACAAAUGAAAUUGCUUUCAUGUAUAUAAAAUAUAAUUAUGCUCCACUAGGGAUAAAGCGGUAAACAGCAUGUAUCAGUGCUCGAGAUGCGUUGUUUAGCAUUUAAAAUAUUGAUUAAAGAUGCAAAUAAUCUGUUCUGCAUCAUUUUGUAGUAAUCACAUUUCUUCCUGGGAACACAGCCCUGCUGCACGUGCUCUGGGUUGCAGGAGAUUAAAGCUGUAAAUACAAUGGGCAGCAAUGCCGGUGUGCAUUCCUUGAAGCAGAGGCAACUUUUCCUCAAGGGCUGUUUGGAAGCUUAGGAAUGAGUUUCCCAAACUUUCUCAUUCUUAAAAUCUGGACAACCAGCAGGAAAACUAUGUUCUCUGUCUGCAGAAUCUGUGCUAGGUAUGGGUGCUAGAAUUACAAACAAAUGGGUCUCCUUCAGUAUUGGUACUUUAGCUGAAAAAUAGCUAUAGAGUUACAGUGAGUGUGGUAUUAUAAGGGGAAAAACAGCUCUGCUCCCAAAAGGGAAAUUGCCUUUCCUCCAGGAUGUCAGCAAAAUAACAGAUAACUGAGAAGCGAUAGAUAUAAUUUUGGGGGGGGUUUAAAAAACUCAAGAGGCUAUUAAGGAAGCUAAGAGUAAUCACAGAGUAGGACAUAAUGGACUUGCAUGGACUGGAAACUGAUUAAGAGAGAGAAACAAAGAAAGGAAUAAGUACAUUUAGCAAUAGGACUGAAAAUAAUUCUCUUCCAAAAUCUAAUGGAUUUUAUUUAUGGCAUUGGGUGAUAUAUUGUCAUAUUUACGACACCCAAGAUUCAGAUAAAUGGGAGGCAAAAAGUCCUGUCUAUCAAUCCAAACUGCUCCUCAUUCUGUUCCUUGCAGCUUCAGUCAAAUGCCAUUAGCUGUCAUUCUCAGGAAAUCUAAAUAGCUGGAGAUGAGAAAAGUUUUUAUCACUUGAUGCAUGAAUAACAUUUUUAAGUUCGUAAUUCAGGUGUUAUAGUCUUGGAAUUCAACAUUAGUUUAUUUAUUUUCAUUAUUAGAACGACAGAUGGUGUAAUAAUGAAUAUAGAUUGAAAAAAAUGUAAUAAAAAAAAAAGAUUAUGGGAAAAAGCACAACAAACAAACAAAAAACCAAACCCAGUAGAUUAUCCAGUAAAUGCUUCUGUUCAAACAGAAAAUUUUCUCAGAAAUGCUUCUCUGUGUUUUUUUGUAGGCGGCUUUCAAAUGACAGAAUUUCAUGAGCAUUUCCUGAGUUUUCUCCAGUUCCGUGCCUUGUGUUGUUAAGUGCGAGAUGUUAUUCUCAGACUUUGCAUUGUAAAACAAGAUUUGUUUCAUUUUCAGUCUCAAGGCUGUAUGUGUGCAUGUGAAUUCAUGCAUACGUGCAUGGAAAGGAAGGGCUGCUUGGCGUUUGAUGGCAGAAGAGCUUUUAUUGUUAGUGCACUUUACAACGGCUGCGACGUCUUGAGGAUGAUACAGAACAGCUGUCAAAAGUAUGAAGGGUAUUUGCAAGAAUAUGUAACAAUACAGUAGGGUGAAGAAUUUCCAAGAAAGAAUAUUUUGACUGAGUAUUAGGAAGAAGGGCUUUUAACAUGGAUUGUUGAAAGACACAGAAACAGUUGAUAGACAUCAGUUAAAGUUGCUAUUUCUCUGGAGACUGUCAGAGUUGGACAAACAUCCCCAAGGGUGGAUGCAGCAGCAAAACUAAUUUAAUUCCCAAUGGUUGUUUUGAAAUUUUAGCUCUAUUAUUCCAAUUGGUGAGAUGGUUCAGGAGAAUGUGUUGUUGGGAUCUCUUUGAGGGUUGUCAGAAGAGGCAGAUAUGCUCACCGGGGCAGUUAUACCUGUCUGAAUUUCUGCUAUUAGUGGAUUCAAGAGAUUUAUGAAUUUUUUUUCCUUGAUGAACUUCUCAACUGUAUUUUUAAUCCCCUGCCCUAAGCCUUUCAUUAUUCAUAGCUUUGCAUCAACUCAACUCUGCUGCUCUUACUCCAGGUUAAUCCAGUACUGGAGAUCUGGUGCCAGUGCAAUGAAGGGGGUUAGACAUGGACCUUGGCAACUUAAUAGAGCUGCACUUCUCCUUUUAAAGCUUCUGUUGACCUUAGAAGUGCAAGGAUUCACUCAGUGUGAAAUGCUACAAAUUUAUUGAUUUUUGUCCUAUGUUAGAAGGUGAUGGUCCCAUCGGCCUUUUUAGGUUUUAUAUGGGACAGUAUGAAUUUUUAUUUGACAUCCUGUAAAAUUAUGUUCCUCUGUCUCUAUGAGGAUUGAACAGAGGGAGAGGAUGAUCUCUCACUGCACCUCAGGCUGCUUCUAUUUAAUGAUGCUAGGUUCCUUUUACUUAAUAAGGGACUUAGUACUAUCAAGACAGUCAUGCAGAUUUUAUUACAAGUGUGCAGAGAUGCUGCUUGAUUCUAUUCCUUGGACGGAUGAAUAGUUUUUGACGCAAAUCUUUGUGAACACUUUUGUUUUUAUUAUUUUAUAAAGAGGCCACCUAGUGCGCUAUUUCAGUGGAGAAAAAGUGUGUUUAUAUGUACCUAGGGAUGAUGAUUUGAUGUAACAAUAAUAAUAAAAUAUGCUGAUGUGAUCGUAUCAUUUUCAUUACAUACGGGUGGAAACUGAAACUUCUGUUUCUGAUGAGAUACUGAUGAUGAAUAAUCAGCUCCAUAUCCCAGAGAGGUAAACACAAUCUGUGUCUGAAUGUAUAUCAAGGGAAAUCCUUCAUGUAUUUUCAUGAGUCUUUGGGCACGGGUGAUAUUCUUAGAUUCCUUUUCAGCAUGAUUCUGUUUUUAUUCAACGCACUCAUUUUUCUCACAGAGGUUGUGUUGGAGUAUCCCAUCCCCCCACUCAGCAGAGAGGGAAUGGGGUAGAGGGGAAAAGAAGGCACCAGAGCACAGUGGGAG
rnacentral:lncRNA from 1 species